rnacentral:rRNA from 1 species
CCUACGGGAGGCAGCAGUAAGGAAUAUUGGUCAAUGGACGAAAGUCUGAACCAGCCAUGCCGCGUGAAGGAUUAAGGUUCUCUGGAUUGUAAACUUCUUUUAUAUGGGACGAAAACCACCCUUUCUAGAUCAUUUGACAGUACCAUAAGAAUAAGCACCGGCUAACUCCGUGCCAGCAGCCGCGGUAAUA